GAAGCGAGAGAACGUUGCCGCAGGCAACGGCCCGAAGGGCGAGGCGCUUUAGCGCCGAGUAAUCCUUCCCCCACCACUG
rnacentral:sRNA from 1 species